AUGUUUAGAAUUAUUUCAUUUAGACUGUUAAUACUGAUACUGAACAUAAACACAAUAGUAUACAAAUUACAUGAGUACACCUUACAUCAAGUAUGUUCUUCAUAUAACAUGUAAUAAAUAACACAAAUACAUAAUACACAGCGAGAUAAAAAACAAGGGAAGUAAAAUCUUCCAGCUCAGCUCUUGCGCUCUUCUGCUUCUUGCUUCUUCCAUCACUCGUACAUGCUUAUCUGAAAAUAAACAACGAGAAUGGGGUGAGAUAUAAUAUUUCAGUGGAGUUCCCUAUCUUACGGAUCCACUAGCUCUAAAAGGUAUCCUGAACUAUUUCGACACUACGGUCCUAGUUCUUACGAGAUAAAGCCAAAUAAAAGAAUUUGAGGUCUCUUAACCUCCAUAUAAGCGAAAAUGCUAACACAGGUACCUCUUCAGUCAAUGUUCACCAACGAGAUAUAUAUAAUGACUUACGAGAAGAACAUAUUACGUCAAGCCUAGCUUAAGGGCUGGAUGAUUUCCAACCAAUCACACUUUUCCUUACGGGCUAGGUACAUUGUUAACCAUUCUUUACGUGCAUAGAAAACCCGUUUGCAUUACGCCAUUAUCGGAAUGCGAAGUGAUGCCUAGCAAAUCAUUUCAUCGCAUUACGUUCCAUUUUGUAGUGUAGGUAUCCAAUUACGCCUCAUUUGAAGUGUGAACGUCACAUUACGCCCCACUUAAGGAGUGUGACUUCACAUUACGCCCCUUGGAGUGCGACAAUCUCAUACACUACAUUCGGAGUGUGAAUGUCACAUUUAACCCCUCGUAAGGAGUGUGACUUCACAUUUCGCCCCACUUAGGAAUUGCGAGUGGAUGUGCAAAGGGGUGAACAGGUGUUCCCGCAUACAAGGACUUCACUUCAUUCUGCACAUACGUGCUAGCGGUUUUUCCAUUUCGUUCCCGGUACAUCAACGAGAAGUUAAUGAUUCACAGGGAGUCAUCUAUCAACUAACGCCUAAUACGUCAAGCCCGACUUAUAGAUUAAAUGACUUCUGGUUAAUCCGUCUCGUGUACGGGUUGUACACUUGGGACUUGACUUGGGCCAAGGAGACCGAGCUACAACCACCUCCUAAAGCGGGAGGAAUAUCCAUACUCUCCCUUAGGAUAAUGGUUAACCACUCAUACUUAAAUUCUAAGACCAACACUCUUAGAAUUUACUAGGUUUCCUCACUUUGUUCGGUUCAUUUUAUAGAAAAACACAAUCAAGCCAUGGAGCUUUUCCUAGGUCUUAGAAUGAGUGAUUAACCAUAAGGGGAUAUCGUACUAUUCUAGUUUUAGUACAGGUUAUCAUUUCAAAUGAAACAAGCUUAUCCAACAAGUGGAACAAGUUUUAGUACAGGUUAUCAUUUCAAAUGAAACAAGCUUAUCCAACAAGUGGAACAAGUUUAUCGUACUAUUGUUGUUCUUGUGCAAUCGAUUGCAUCUACAACUUUUCCCAAAAGUUGACGUUCUAACUUAUUUUUCAGCACCCCAAUCCACCAUAAAUCAAAUCCUAACAUACUACUUUAACAUGUUAUAAGGAUCAAAUCACAACAUAAACAACACAUGCAAGUUGUUCACAUUUGAUCACACCAAAUUCAUCAUGCGUUUAAAAAAACAAGCAGGUUUCACAUAACAUAAGCAUGGAUUCUAUCAUUUAACAUAAUCCUAACAUAUAAUGGCUAAGGACUACCUAGAACCCCACCUGGAAAUUCUAUGAUGGAGAUGAUGAUAUGAUCAACUUUCAAGCUUGCUUCUCUCAAGAGCUUAAAUAUCCACAUGCAAUAGAUCCUUGAAGCUUGAGAUGAUGGAAAAAUAGUGUUGAUUUUGGGUCCUCAUCUUCACUCCUUCUGUCUUCUCGAGUUCUCCCUCUCUCUUCUCUCAAAUUCUGAGGUUGGACAAGGGUAUUAC
rnacentral:lncRNA from 1 species